AGCUGCAGCUGGUAACACUGAAGUUCUGGAGGUGUCACACCUUGUAGGUAUCUGAGCGGGGACCAACGGCCGCUCCAAACAUUCACAUUCUCUGGUAAGCGAUGUAACCGGACUGUCCACUUUAACUACCCUUUCCUGUGAACCCAUGUCCUCGGACGAAGCUGUUAGCGUGUCACUACCUGAGUUAAUAACCUCAACUUCGUUUGACUCAUUGUAGGUAGUCUCAGUUCUAUUACGGAGACUGUAAACUGACGCACUACCUCUAGACAUGGUGUAUGGAGUAGGUAGUAAGAUGCCCAAUAUUUUCAAUAACAAACUAAAAAAAAUACUAAAUAACUAAACAAAGCACUUGUCGUACAUUCGUGCCCCACGUACUGGGCUCCAUUUUCUCUAAUAUUAAAAUUAGGAUCUUCAUUGUGAAUAAAAAUUUUCUCUGUGAGUGUGUGUGCAUGUAUAAUAUUCUGUGUUAUAAUUACAAAAUAAAAAAAAUAAAAAAAAUACUUAUAGGCUAAUCCUCAAUACUGAAACACAGAUUCUACACAAUAAAUAAAGCUCGAACAAUAUGGUUAGCUUGAAUCUGUGAUAGUAUAAGGAAAAUUAUAAUUAAGUAUGUAAAAUUAUGAACAAAUAAACCAUUUGUGUCAGCUCAAAUGUUUGUUAAAUGACUGGAAGUUAGGUUGGGCACAUCAUUUAAAAACACAAAAGUUAUUGUCAAUAUUAAAAUUGGGUUUCAACAUUAAUGCACACCACGAUAUAGUUUAUAUUAUAAUGUUUUAAUUAUAAAUCCCGGCCAACUGUUGUCAAUGGUAGAGAACGAAAUUCAUACCUUUGGACUUCUGAAAUUCCGACGAGUACUCAGUAUUAGUCGACAGACUCGAUUGUAUUUAGUUAAUUUCUUCACUCAUAAAAUAUAAUCUUAUACGAUUAUCAUUUCAAAAGGAAAAACACGGCCUUCGUAUUUCUUUUUAAUUAUUUCCUUUUCGAGGAUAUCAAUUCUUUCAUUCAUUUUUAAAACUCCUUCCUAAGCAUAGAGUAAUGUACAUACAAUAUCACAAUUCCAAUACCAUAGCACAUACUUCAAUAUAUCAAACAAACAUGGCACUGAAAACUAAAUAUAUAUCGAUUCACAAAACCAAUGCAAAAAGUUCAUCUGUAACAAUGUUUCGUUACAUUAUGGUUCUGUAAUUAAAAAACAUGAUCUUGUCACCCUAAUCUGAUAUGCUGCAACACACUCACAUACGCGGUCUUUAAGGUGUAGUGUUCCAGUAUAAGGUACCUCGGCUUGUUUUUUAAUUAUUUCCUUUAAAUUUGCGCUAAUGACAGGAACGAAAUGUUUUUCUCCCAAGUGUAAGGUUUUGUAAUUAAAAAAACUUAAUCUUGUUAACCUGAAUCUGUAAUUCUGCAACACACUCACAUACACUGUCUUUAAGGUGCAGUAUUCUAGUAUAAGGUACCUGGGCUUGUUUUCUUAUUAUUGCCCCUUAAACUUGGCCUAAUGACAAACGCCAUGUGUGUUUCUAUUAAGUUUAAAGUUUUGUAAUUAAAAACCUUGAUCUUGUCACCCUAGAACCGAUAUGCUGCAUAACACUCACAUACAUGGUCUUUAAGGUGUAGUAAUCCAGAAUAAAGUACCUCGGUUGUUUAUUAUUUAUUGUUCCUUAAAGUUGGCCUUAUGCCUAGGGAAGACUGUUUCUGCCGAGUUUAGGGUUCUGUAAUUAAAAAACUGAUCUUGUCACCCUGAAUCUGAUAUGCUGCAACUCUCUCACAUACGCUGUCUUUAAGGUGUAGUAAUCCAGUAUAAGGUACCUGAGUUUGUUUUGACGCCGUCCCCGCUACCUCUGAGUAUUUAGACGUGAUUUUGUUCAGUUCGUGAUCUCAGGGAAGGUUCGGCCUUGUGGCUAGAGGUAGGGGUCAACGCAGUAGGGCCCCCCGAGCUGUUGAGGCCACUCGGGACGCCUGAAUAAUAACACAAAACUUCUUCAGAUUGUUCGUGAAUUUAAUACAGCACAGCCCAAUACAUGGUGCUGCCCGUUCUGGCCGUAACGGUUUGCCCGACGCGACUAGUCACACGCGCAGCUCACUUUCUCAGUGGCGGCUCACGAUUCUUAUGCGCGUGAGGGGCAGACUCGUUUACGUGAUGCGAAAGUUACAAAAGACACUCUGACAUGGCACACGAUAUUUUGAAGCACAAUACACUACACUAAUACCUAGCUCUGGAUUAAGUUUGGUGGCGCACUGCCGUACGACGGUGAUACAUAAGCCCUGACAUGACGAAUUACACUUAGGCGAACAACUAUUCCACUAAUACAUUACACUUGAUAAACUGGGCUAGCAGCACGUAGGCCCGUGUUUCCGGCGACUCUACGUGGUGUCUAGGUGUGACCCAGGGACUGAAUCGUUAUUAAGUCUGAUAGCACGUGUCGCCUGCUGGCUGCCCCGUGCGGGCCAAAACUAAAUAGCCUGUAGGCUAGGUUGGGCGUGAAGCGCCGACGUGAAACCACAUAAUCUCCCCACAGUACUUACGUAUGACGUGGAACACUCAUCUUGAGCACUGAUUGAAUUAAGUUAAGUACCUCAUGGUAAAUUUAGGCCGACCGCGGAACUGUACAAAAAGGUUGAAAAGAAAUUACACUAUGGAAAACUACAUGUCGGUGAAUGCAAAGUUUGAAGGUUCCGCGUUGCGCGCAGGCUGCCGGCCUGGUUGAGCUCUCGAAGGACACUAGCGGUGUCCCGCGCGCGACCCCCCUCCCCCGCCAGCCCUCCCGCGGAAACGUGUGAAUUUCGCGGGAAACUGAACCGGCCAGGUUCGGGACCAAUCGCACAUUGAAACAUGAUUUUGCAAAGACUUAAUUAUUAAUUAAUAAAAAAUAAUGUUUAAUAAAAUCCUGUGGAAAAACAUAAUUAUAACAAUUUGUUGUAGUGCGGCGGAAGGAUAUGCCACACCCGGCCGGAUCCUUGCGCCGGUGUAGCACUCGUUGUAUGGCGUUCGCCUCGUCGCACGAACUGCACUUUGCUGCGCGCACGGGCGCGUUCGGUGCACACGCUUUUGCGAGACGUUGAUGAGGCAUAGCGGUCUAUGCGACAGAGGAGCAUUGGCGGUCGGCGUCAGUUUAUUAAUUAUUGUCCUUUAAUCUUGGCUCUAUGUCUAGAGGAGAAGACUGUUUCUGCCAAGUUUAGGGUUCUGUAUUAAAAAAACUUGAUCUUAUCACCCUGAAUCUGAUAUGCCGCAACAUACUCACAUACACGGUCUAUAAGCUGUAGUAAUCCAGAAUAAGGUACCUCAGUUUGUUUUUUAAUUAUUGUCCCUUAAACUUGUCCUUAUGUCUAGAGGAGAAUUUUGUUUCUGCCAAAUUUAGGGUUCUUUUAUUAAAAAAAUUGAUAUUUUCACCCUGAAUCUGAUAUGCUGCAUAGUACUCACAUACGCUGUCUUUAAGGUGUAGUAAUCUAGAAUGAGGUACAUCGGCUUGAUUAUAUUAUAUUGUCCCUUAAACUUGGCCUAAUUUCUAGAGGAGAAGACUGUUUCUGCCAACUUUAAGGAUCUGUAAAUAAAAAACUUUAUCUUGUCACCCUGAAUCUGAUAUGCUGAAACACACUCACAUACACGGUUUUUAAGGUGUAGUUACCAGUUUAAGGUACCUCGGAUUGUUUUUUAAAUAUUCUCUCUUAUAAUAUGUUAUGUCUAGAUGAGAAUACUGUUUCUGCGAAGUUUAGUGUUCUGUAAUUAAAAAACUUGAUCUUGUCACCCUAAAUAUGAUAUGCUGCAACACACUCACAUACGCAGUCUUUAAGGUGUAGUAAUCCAGUAUAAGGUACAUAGGCAUGUAUUUUAAAUAUUGUCCCUUAAACUUGGCCUUAUGUCUGGAGGAGAAGACUGUUUCUGCUAAUUUAGGGUUCUGUAAUUAAAAAACUUGAACUAGUCACCCUGAAUCUGAUAUGCUGAAACACACUCACAUAGGCGGCCUUUAAGGUUUAGUAAUCCAGAAUAAGGUACCUCGGCUUCUUUUUUAAUUAAUGUCCUUUAAAUUUGGGCUAAUAACAGGAACGGUGUGUUUUUCUCCCAAGUUUAGGGUUUUGUAAUUAAAAAACUUGAUCUGGUUACCCUGAAUAUGAUAUGCUGCAAGACACACACAUACACGUUCUUUAAGGUGUAGUAAUACAGAAUAAGGUACCUCUGCUUGUUUUUUAAUUAUUGUCCUUUAAACUUGGCCUUAUGUCUAGAGGAGAAGACUAUUUCUGCCAAGUUUAGGGUUAUGUAAUUAAAAAACUUGAUCUUGUCAUCCUUAAUCUGAUAUGCUGCAACACACUCACAUACGCAUUCUUUAAGGUGUAGUAAUCCAGUAUAAGGUGCAUCGGCUUGUUUAUCAAAUAUUGUUCCUUAAACUUGGCUUUAUGUCUAGAGAAGAAGAAUGUUUCUGCCAACUUAGGGUUCUGUAAUUAAAAUACUUGAUAUUGUCACCCUGCGUCUGAUAUGAUGCAACUCACUCACAUACGUGGGUUUUAAGGUGUCGUAAUCCAGUAUAAGGUUCCCCGUUCUUGUUUUUUAAUAUUGUCCCUUAAACUUGGCCUAAUGUUUAGAGGAAAAGUCUGUUUCUGCCAACUUAAAAUUUCUGUAAUUAAAAAACUUAAUCUUUUCACCCUGAAUCUGAUAUGCUGCAACAAACUCUAUUGGCGGUCUUAAAGGUGUAGUAAUCUAGUAUAAGGUACCUCGGCAUGUUUUUUAAUUAUUGUCCCUUAAACUUGGCCUUAUGUCUAGAGGAGAAGACUCUUUCUGGCAAGUUUAGGUUUCUGUAAUUAAUAACUUGAUCAUGUUACCCUGAAUCUGAAUUGAUGCAAUACUCUCGCAUACACGGUAUUUAAGGUAUUGUUAUCAAGAUAAGGUACCUCGGCUUGUUUUUUAAUUAUUGUCCUGUAAAUUUGGGCUAAUGACAAGAACAGUGUGUGGUUCUGCCAAGUUUAGGGUUUUGUAAUUAAAAAACGUAAUCUUGUCACCCUGAAUAUGAUAUGCUGCAACACACUUAAAUAACGGUUUUUAUGGUUUAGUAAUCCAGAAUAAGGUACCUUAGUUAGUUUUUUUAACAUUGUUCUUUAAACUUGGCCUUAUGUCUAGAGGAGAAGACUGUUUUAACCAAGUUUAGGGUUCUAUAUUUAAAAAACUUGAUCCAUUCACCCUGAAUCUGAUAUGCCGCAACACACUCACAAUCACAGUCUUUAAGGUGUAGUAAUCCAGAAUAAGGUACCUCAGUUUGUUUUUUAAUUAUUGUCCCUUAAACUUGGCCUUAUGUCUAGAGGAGAAGUUUGUUUGAUGCUGAGUUUAGGGAUCUGUAAUUAAAAAAAUUGAUCUUUCACCCUGAAUCUGAUAUGUUAAACUCACUCACAUACGCUGUCUUUAAGGUGUAGUAAUCCAGUAUAAGGUACCUCGGCUUGAUUUUUAAUUAUUGUCUCUUAAACUUGGCUUUAUGUCUAGAGGAGAAGACUGUUUCUGCAAACUUAGGGUUCUGUAAUUAAAAAACAUGAUCUUGUCACCCUAAUCUGAUAUGCUGCAACACACUCACAUACGCGGUCUUUAAGGUGUAGUAAUCCAUUAUAAGGUACCUUGGCUUGUUUUUUAAUUAUUGUCCUUUAAAUUUGGGCUAAUGCCAGGAAAUAUGUGUUUUUCUCCCAAGUUUAAGGUUUUGUAAUUAAAAAACUUGAUCUUGUCACCCUAAAUGUGAUAUGCUGCUAAACACUCACAUACGCGGUCUUUAAGGUGUAGUAAUCCAGUAUAAGGUACCUCUGCUUGUUUUUUAAUUAUUUCCUUUAAAUUUGCGCUAAUGACAGGAACGAAAUGUUUUUCUCCCAAGUGUAAGGUUUUGUAAUUAAAAAAACUUAAACUUGUUAACCUGAAUCUGUAAUUCUGCAACACACUCACAUACACUCCCUUUAAGGUGCAGUAUUCUAGUAUAAGGUACCUGUUCUUGUUUUCUUAUUAUUGCCCCUUAAACUUGGCCUAAUGACAAAUGCGAUGUGUGUUUCUAUCAAGUUUAAAGUUUUGUAAUUAAAAACCUUGAUCUUGUCACCCUGAAGCCGAUAUGCUGCAUAACACUCACAUACAUGGUGUUUAAGGUGUAGUUAUUCUAGAAUAAAGUACCUCGGCUUGUUUAUUAUUUAUUGUUCCUUAAACUUGGCCUUAUGUCUAGGGAAGACUGUUUCUGCCAAGUUUAGAGUUCUGUAAUUAAAAAACUUGAUCUUGUCACCCUGAAUCUGAUAUGCUGCAACUCUCUCACAUACGCUGUCUUUAAGGUGUAGUAAUCCAGUAUAAGGUACCUGAGUUUGUUUUUUAAUUAUUGUCCCUUAAACUUGUCCUUAUGUCUAGAGGAGAAGUUUGUUUCUGCCAAAUUUAGGGUUCUUUUAUUAAAAAAAUUGAUAUUUUCACCCUGAAUCUGAUAUGCUGCAUAGCACUCACAUACGCUGUCUUUAAGGUGUAGUAAUCUAGAAUGAGGUACAUCGGCUUGUUUUUUAAAUAUUGUCCCUUAAACUUGGCCUUAUGUCUAGAGGAGUAGACUGUUCCUGCCAACUUAGGGUUCUGUAAUUAAAAAACUUGAUCUUGUCACCCUGAAUCUGAUAUGCUGCAACCCACUCACAUACGCGGUCUUUAAGGUUUAGUAAUCCAGAAUAGGGUACUUGGGCUUGUUUUUUAAUUAUUGUCUCUUAAACUUGGACUUAUGUCUAGAGGAGAAGACUAUUUCUGCCAAGUUUAGGGUUCUGUAAUUAAAAAACUUGAUCUUGUCACCCUGAAUCUGAUAUUCAGAAAAACACUCCCAUUAGCGGUUAUUAAGGUGUAGUAAUCCAGUAUAAGGUACAUCGGCUUGUUUAUUAAAUAUAGUCCUUUAAAUUUGCCCUUAUGUCUAGAGGAGAAAACUGUUUCUGCCAACUUAGGGUUCUGUAAUUAAAUAACUUGAUUUUGUCACCCUGAAUCUGCUAUGCUGCAACACUCACAUAUGCGGUCUGUAAGGUGUAGUAUUCCAGUAUAAGGUACCUCGGCUUGUUUUUUAAUUAUUGUCUCUUAAAAUUUGUUAUGUCUAGAGGAGAAGACUGUUUCUGCCAAUUUUAUUGUUUUGUAAUUAAAAAGAUUGAUAUUGUCACCUUGAAUCUGAUAUGCUGCAACAUACUCACAUACGCCGUCUUUAAAGUGUAGUAAUCCAGUAUAAGGUAUCUUGCUUGUUUUUCAAUUAAUGUUCCUUAAACUUGGCCGAAUGACAAGAACGAAUUGUGUUUCUUUCAAGUUUAGGGUUUUGUAAUUAAAAAAAUUUGAUCUUGUCACCCUGAAUCUGAUAUUCAGAAAAACACUUCCAUUAGCAGUUAUUAAGGUGUAGUAAUCCAGUAUAAGGUACAUCGGCUUGUUUAUUAAAUAUAGUCCUUUAAACUUGCCCUUAUGUCUAGAGGAGAAAACUGUUUCUGCCAACUUAGGGUUCUGUAAUUAAAUAACUUGAUUUUGUCACCCUGAAUCUGCUAUGCUGCAACACUCACAUACGCGGUCUGUAAGGUGUAGUAUUCCAGUAUAAGGUACCUCGCCUUGUUUUUUAAUUAUUGUCUCUUAAAAUUUGUUAUGUCUAGAGGAGAAGACUGUUUCUGCCAAUUUUAUUGUUUUGUAAUUAAAAAGAUUGAUCUUGUCACCCUGAAUCUGAUAUGCUGUAACACACUCACAUUCGCGGUCUUUAAGUUGUAGUUAUCCAGUAUAAGGUACCUCGGCUUGUUUUUUAAUUAUUGUCCCUUAUACUUGGAUUUAUGUCUAGAGGAGAGGACUGUUUCUGCCAAGUUUAGGGUUCUGUAAUUAAAAAACUUGAUCUAGUCACCCUGAAUCUGAUAUGCUGCAACACACUUACAUACGCGCUCUUUAAGGUGUAGUAAUCCAGAAUAAGGUAUCUUGGCUUGUUUUUUAAUUAUUGUCCCAUAAACUUGGCCUAAUGACAAGAACGAUGUGUGUUUCUUCAAAGUUUAGGGUUUUGUAAUUAAAAAAUUUGAUCUCCUUACCCUGAAUCUAAUAUACUGCAACACACUCACAUACGCUGUCUUUAAGGUGUAGUAAUCCAGAAUUAGGUACCUCGGCUUGUUUUUUAUUUUUUAUCCCUUAAACAUGGCCUUAUGUCUAGAGGAGAAGACUAUUAUUGCCAAGUUUAGGGUUCUGUAAUUAAAAAACUUGAUCUUAUCACCCUGAAUCUGAUAUGCCGUAACACACUCACAUACACGGUCUUUAAGGUGUAGUAAUCCAGAAAAGGUACCUCGACUUGUUUUUUAAUUAUUGUCUCUUAAACUUGGCCUUAUGUCUAGAGGAGAAGACUAUUUCUGCCAAGUUUAGGGUUCUGUAAUUAAAAAACUUGAUCUUGUCACCCCUUAUCUUCUUUUGCAUCAAGCGGAAUGUUGCACCAUUUAUUAUUUUAUUUUAUAAUUAAUUAUUUUAAUAUUGUAUUGUUGCCUAGUGUUGAAAGACUUUGAAAUCUGAUAACUUAGUAUACAUUUUAUGUUUUGAAUUGAUUUUUUUUACCCCCCCCUCCCCCCUGUUUUUUAUAUACCUAUAAACCUCUUUCAAGGGUUCUUUACGUAUUUAUUUUUUUUAAUAUUACAUUUUUAAUUUAUUUUUAUAUAUGUCGUUUUUGCAUCAAGUCAUUGUUUUGCUUUGAUAGGUUUUUACCGUACGGUACUAUAAUUAUGGUACACAUUUAAAAACGAAUCUGAAAUUAGAGGUGUGUUGUUACAGCAAUUUUCGGUAUCAGUACCAACAUUAUAGUGAUACAGUAAUGUACUAGUUACAAUAUCUGAUUCUUUUGUAUCAGAUAUAGCAGUAGCGGUCCCAGGAAUCAACGAGGUAUCAGCAUUCUCGUUACAGGUUACACAUCCUCCGUGCCGUCAUCACCAGCGUAAAAAGGCUGUGUGGGUUGCCACAGUUGCAGAGUGGUGCAACUCAGCGAUGGGAGUGCGUGGCGGGCCGGGCGGUGGUUGUGCCGAGCGGUCCCCUCAGCUAGUCUGCACUCUACUGGAAGGUAGGAGGAGUGGCCGAGGGUUUUGAAGGAGGAGUUAGAGUGAGCUCAAGGCUCACUGUUAGUGCUAACAAGUCAGGGAUGUAACUGUUAGAUAGAGCUGGGCCGAUGCCGAUCCCCGAUCGUAGUAAUCGGCCGAUUUGUUAAUUUUGCCGAUCAUAAUGAUCGGCAAAACGUAGCCGAUUAUUUGAGCCGAUCAUUGGUCUCCUACUGCAAACUUAUAACAUUGAAUAAUUACCUAUACCUAACAACUUUCCAUGUUUGUUUACGGUACUUUUCGGGAAGAAAAUUUGAUUAUUCAUUGAAAAAUAAUAGGAUUUAAUAAUUUAAAACUAACCACACACGAAAAAAAAAAUACCAAUAAAGUAAACAAAUACCGUAAGUUUUAUAAACAUUGAACAGUUACAUACCUAAGUAUCAAUUUCCACGUAUAUUUACGGUACUUUCGGUAAAAUAAUUUUCCAUUAUACUAUUUGCAAAGUUAUUUAUCAUUUACGAACCGAAAACUAUGUAUUUGUUUACCAUUUACGGUUAAUAUUACCGGAAUGGCGAAUUGCGACUGUUGUUUAGGUUGGUUAUGUGACGCCAGAGAUUAGAGUGACGCGCGUCGCGCGACGGAAUUAGUACGGAUUAAUGGCGCUAGUAGUCUCGUGGUUAGUAAACAACUACUCUUCGGGAAUUCAUCUAUUUAGUUUUUUCUCGCUAAAUAUGGCCUAUUGAAAGUUUUGUUUAGAGAAAUUAAUAUUCUUAUCCUGUUUAGCGGGAAAUAGAGCUUAACUUUCUUUUGUAUAAAAACCUGGUUGAUGAAAAGUUUUGUUUCCCACAGUAGAACAUCGUUAAUCCGUGACGCGCUAAUACGGGAAUCGGAUAAUACGGGAAUCGGAUAAUCCGGGACGAUUUAAAAGUGCAGAAAAAAAAGAGAAGCAAAAUUGUCAGCGCUUAAAAUUAACGUCACGCGGGCCGGCGGCCGGCAAACACUGCAACGCUGUUUGUACCGACCCUUUGUGUCGCCCCCCUUUCAGCUGUCACAUUUGUCACUCUUUAAACGUGAGGGGGAUGUCCUGACUUCUGCUUCCCGUUUUCCGUUUGUUUGAAUGUUGUUUCACGUGCUGCAGAGUUACUUUCCGCCCGCCAACGCACGGCAGGCGCCUGGCGAGUGACGUGUCUGUCUGGCAUUCGGUUGAUCGAAGGGGAGGAGGGGGGUGGGGAGCUACCCAAAAUUUAUGUGUACAAGGUCAGCACGAUCUUAUCUUUCUCUCUUCGGCUGUUGUAAAUGACCGUGAACUAAUGGCUAGGCAGUGCCGUAUUUUUUUAAGCCGAGACAACAAUUCGAAGGCGGCCCUUACCGUUAACCGAUUAUCCGGGUUUAUUUAUUUAUUUAUUUUUUUUUUACAGAAUUUCAAUUAUCCGGGCAUCGGCGGGUCCCAAUGAACACGUAUAAUUGGGAGUUUACUAUUUUUAUCCAUCUGCUGCGAAGGCGCAGUAAGCCUCGGGAGAUGUUACGUCACAUGACCUUGGCCUUAACCCAGCUGCACGCUGGUGUCUGAGAAGCUUGACAAGACCUUCCGGGCUUACCUGUAUAAUUGCUAGUCCGUGAAAUUUAUGAUGUCGUGAUUUUUAAGUAAUCAUGUCAAUGAAAAGUAGUUUUGUCUGGGAAUAUUUCACCGUUUAUAGUGAUCAGUCAAAAGCAAUGUGUAAUCAGAGGUACUUGAAAGGCUCUAAUCGGCUCAGAAGAUCGGCAAGAUCGGCAGCAGAUGAUCGGCAUCGGCAUGAUCGGCAAAAUAGGUGAUCGGCCCAGCUCUACUGUUAGACUCACUCCUAUGGGAGGAAAUAAGUCCGCGUUUCAUGAUGUCAAGUUUUAUACUGAAUGGGCGGCCACCUGCCACCCAGGUAUGUAUUUCGUUUAGAUUCACGGGGAUGUGAACUGGCAAAACUAAUCUACAAUUGGUACAGGGGCUGGGAGGCCCCAGCCAGAACAUAUGAGGAGUUCCAGUUCAUGAUCUCAAUGAUUGAGUGCUUACAGCUAAAGAAGACUAUGCUGGUAAUGAAAACACCUAACUCAGUCAGUGAGUUUAAACUUGAUCAUAUAAAUUAUUCUUCCAGUCACAGUUUAUAAAUUCCUGUCAUAAAACUAUCAUAUUUUGAAUUUUAAAUGAAAUUUAUUUUUAUUUCUUCAUAUAGUAAAACAUAGUAUAAUAAAUCUAUAAUAAACUAAAAAUUAAAAAUUCAAUAAUUAAUCAACUGGUAAAAUUUAAUUUACGUACCUAUUUAUGACCCAUACAUUCAAAGUUCAUACAAAACUGCUUACAUUUAUAAUGACAUAGGUAUCAAUUGUCUACAACAUUAGACAAAUCAGGCUAUGCACAAUCAUAAUUUAUAGCAAUUUUAGUUAUAAAUGUUUUGUCUAUAAUGAUUUUUCAGUGUAAUCGUGAAAAGCUGUAAGUAGGUAUUGAUGAGCAUUGAAGUUCUGAAAUGCUUAUGCUGCACGUACUGAAAUAUUUGGUUAAUUUUGUUUAAAAUUAGUAACAAAAACUGUAGUAUUAUUUGAAAUGUAAAAUGAUUGUAUUCUGAGCCACAUUAAAAAUAUAAAAACAAA